UAGGGAAUCUUCGGCAAUGGGGGGAACCCUGACCGAGCAACGCCGCGUGAGUGAAGAAGGUUUUCGGAUCGUAAAGCUCUGUUGUUAAGGAAGAACGAGUGUGAGAAUGGAAAGUUCAUGCUGUGACGGUACUUAACCAGAAAGGGACGGCUAACUACGUGCCAGCAGCCGCGGUAAUACGUAGGUCCCGAGCGUUGUCCGGAUUUAUUGGGCGUAAAGCGAGCGCAGGCGGUUAGAAAAGUCUGAAGUGAAAGGCAGUGGCUCAACCAUUGUAGGCUUUGGAAACUGUUUAACUUGAGUGCAGAAGGGGAGAGUGGAAUUCCAUGUGUAGCGGUGAAAUGCGUAGAUAUAUGGAGGAACACCGGUGGCGAAAACGGCUCUCUGGUCUGUAACUGACGCUGAGGCUCGAAAGCGUGGGGAGCGAACAGG
rnacentral:rRNA from 1 species